rnacentral:rRNA from 1 species
AUUUGAAAUCCAACGUUAUUUGCGUUUGAGUUGUAAUUUGGAGGGGCAACUUUGGAAUCGACGCCGUCCUAUGUUUCUUGGAACAGGACGUCACAGAGGGUGAGAAUCCCGUGCAUUGACGGAUCGUCGAUGACGUGUAAAGUGCCUCCGACGAGUCGAGUUGUUUGGGAAUGCAGCUCAAAAUGGGUGGUAAAUUUCAUCUAAAGCUAAAUAUUGGCGAGAGACCGAUAGCGCACAAGUAGAGUGAUCGAAAGAUGAAAAGCACUUUGAAAAGAGGGUCAAAAAGUACGUGAAAUUGUUGAAAGGGAAGCGCUUGAGAUCGAACUCAGUCGAUGGUUGCACAGUCAAGCUUUUGCUCGACGCACUGGCUAUCGACUGGGCCAGCAUCGGUUUUGACGGCGGCAAAAAGGACCAGGGAACGUGGCUCGUUUCGGCGAGUGUUAUAGCCCUGCGUCGCAAUACUGUCUGUUCGAGACCGAGGACCGCGCUACGGCUAGGAUGCUGGCGUAACGGUCUUAAGCGACCCGUCUUGAAACACGGACCAAGGAGUCUAACAUCCAUGCGAGUGUUCGGGUGUAAAACCCUUGCGCGUAAUGAAAGUGAACGGAGGUGGGAACCCUUCAAAAGGUGCACCAUCGACCGAUCCUGAUGUCUUCUGAAGGAUUUGAGUAGGAGCAUGGCUGUUGGGACCCGAAAGAUGGUGAACUAUGCCUGAAUAGGGUGAAGCCAGAGGAAACUCUGGUGGAGGCUCGCAGCGGUUCUGACGUGCAAAUCGAUCGUCAAAUUUGGGUAUAGGGGCGAAAGACUAAUCGAACCAUCUAGUAGCUGGUCCCUGCC